UUUCCGUAGGUGAACCUGCGGAAGGAUCAUUAUUGUAUAACCGAGGUGCGAGGGCUGUCGCUGACCCGAAAGGUCGUGCACGCCCGAGUGCCCUCACACACAUCCAUCUCACCCCUAUGUGCACCACCGGGUGGGUCCCCCUUUGGCUUGUUCGGAGGGGGGCUUACGUUUACACACAAACUUUGUAUGCAGUGUAGAAUGUAUUUUUUGUUUUUGCGAUCACGCAAUCAAUACAACUUUCAACAACGGAUCUCUUGGCUCUC
rnacentral:misc_RNA from 1 species